rnacentral:rRNA from 1 species
GAUGAACGCUGGCGGCGUGCCUAAUACAUGCAAGUCGAGCGAACGGACGAGAAGCUUGCUUCUCUGAUGUUAGCGGCGGACGGGUGAGUAACACGUGGAUAACCUACCUAUAAGACUGGGAUAACUUCGGGAAACCGGAGCUAAUACCGGAUAAUAUUUUGAACCGCAUGGUUCAAAAGUGAAAGACGGUCUUGCUGUCACUUAUAGAUGGAUCCGCGCUGCAUUAGCUAGUUGGUAAGGUAACGGCUUACCAAGGCAACAAUGCAUAGCCGACCUGAGAGGGUGAUCGGCCACACUGGAACUGAGACACGGUCCAGACUCCUACGGGAGGCAGCAGUAGGGAAUCUUCCGCAAUGGGCGAAAGCCUGACGGAGCAACGCCGCGUGAGUGAUGAAGGUCUUCGGAUCGUAAAACUCUGUUAUUAGGGAAGAACAUAUGUGUAAGUAACUGUGCACAUCUUGACGGUACCUAAUCAGAAAGCCACGGCUAACUACGUG